AUCGUCGUUUGAUCAAGUCGUGCAAUUACUUCGGUAAUUUCACGUACUUCCGGUCACGAAGCAAUAAGUCCUCACUUAUUCUGAGGGCUUCAAGAACUUCUACUCGUCCAUUCUGACCUGGACCGUGGAAGAGGCGAGAGUGCGUGAUAAUUGUUUAGUGUCGCGGUGUGUUUUAUUUGCACUUGGUUGGUCAAUUUUUUCCCGUCAACUUUUGGCGCUGGGAAGUUGAUUAAAUUGUACUGGCUGACACUACGUUCAGCAUCUACCGAGUUUCCAGGAAUAGACAGAUGUUUCACCGCUAUAAGAGCUGAGGAGAGCGGUCAACCAAAACUUUUGUCCCCGCACUAAUCGCCUCCCGCUCGCCACACCGUGCCCAUUACGUCUUUGCCACGCUCUUGACCCCAAGUGCCAGCUUCAAAGGAUUUCUGACUGCCGGCCGAAGUCAGAAGGGAGUUGCGCCGUUGUAUCGCACUCCGGAAGAGCGAUUUCCCGCCGGAAAUUCAUCGUACCGACGACGGUACCUUUACGGUGGCAUAAUCUAGCCGUUUAUUGGGUGUAGUCUGUGUCUGUCUGCGCGACGCGACGAAGAGGAGAAGCGGAUUGAAAGAGAGCCGGUAAAGAAGAGAGGGCAAGCAGAAAUCCAACUGUAAGUAAGCCCAACAAAUGAGUCAAGCCCGACAAAUGUUUUGGUUUGAGUGAAGCUUUGGGAUAGAUACUGUUUAAAAAAGCCGUUAGUAGUGAGAAGAAAUCCGCACAGUUAGUUUUAGAUAGUAGAGCAUAAGGGAGGAGAAAUCAAAUAGAGAAAUAUGUAGAUAAUGUGGGUA